UUGAAUCAGAAGUAAAACAGUGUAAGAAAAGUCUAUAUUUGUUACAUAAAUAUCAUUUAAAUGUCAUAUAUCUAUCUGCAUUGUUUUGGAUGUGGACAUAUAUUUCGGGUCAUUUCUAGGCCAUUUAAAUGAUAAACUUUGAUUCACAAGGAUGGAUUUUGCAAAAUUCAUAAGUUAACGCAUACAACUACGGAGGUGAAUUUUGUUUUUAAUUAUUUGAUAUUGAAGUAUAGCCACGGAUUUUUUUUUUAACUAAGUGACUAAGAUUGUUUCCGCAGGGCGACACACGAUAUAUUAAAACUGAACGUAUUAGGACGCACAACACAACAAGUACACAAAAAUACUGCACUGUUGUAUUGAAAGAUUAUACUUUUUGUAAUCCAUAAGAAUCGAAGAAAUGCAGAAACUGUAUGUUGUGUGUAUUGUUCUUUUGAUCGUCAAAAUGUCCAAUCUGUCUUACGGAUUGUCCACAUCUUCGGUGUUGGUAAUGUUUCCCGAAUUCAACGACCUUGUGACGAAAAACAUCAAAUCUGAAAACGAGAUUCGAUCAUUGAAGAAUGAUGUGGCACGUCUACGACAGGAUCUCAACAAUUUCAAAACCCAGACAGGAAAUGCUAUUAAGAAUUUGCUAAGCCUUCAAGGACUAUAAAGUUAUACAAGGAUUUUUCUCAAACCCGUUUAUACGGAUCUUUUAUUGUCUUAGUAUGUACAUUUAUAUUCUGGAAAUGGUUAUAAUUGUAUCUUUUUGAUAACACUUGAAGUAUAAUCUUUUAUUGUAAACAUAUCUGCCCUUUCUUUCUCUUUGUCAAUAAACAAAAUAGACAUAA